rnacentral:lncRNA from 1 species
AUGUCCCUGAGAAGCCUUCAGGGUGACGGAGAUGUCCCCAAAGCCACCGUGGUGCUCAUGGGAUGUCCCCAAGGGUCCACCAGGGUGACAGGGAUGUCCCCAAAGCCACCGUGGUGUCCAUGGGAUGUCCCCAAAAGUCACCGUGGUGUCCAUGGGAUGUCCCCAAAGCCACCAUGGUGUCCAUGGGAUGUCCCCAAAGCCACCCUGGUGUCCGUGGGAUGUCCCCAAAGCCACCGUGGUGUCCAUGGGAUGUCCCCAAAGCCACCGUGGUGUCCAUGGGAUGUCCCCAAAAGUCACCGUGGUGUCCAUGGGAUGUCCCUGAGAAGCCACCGUGGUGUCCAGGGGAUGUCCCCAAAGCCACCGUGGUGUCCAUGGGAUGUCCCCAAAGCCACCGUGGUGUCCAUGGGAUGUCCCCGAGGAGCCUCCAGGGGGUCCCAAAGUUGACCAAUUAAAGGAUUUCACCCCAAAUCUGGAGUGGCCUCCUCAGGGCUGGGGACAACGGAGAGCUCUGGGGACAUCAGAGAGCUCUGG